rnacentral:lncRNA from 1 species
GUCAUCCUCGUAUCUAAUCCAGCGAUCCCCGAGCUGCACUUGCCUCUGGAGACUGUAAGGGCAAUAGUUCGCCACCUUCUCGUGAGCCAUUCCAGAUGCACGUGUGGCAGUCUUAUUCCGCAUUCCCUGAGAAACAUGUUACACGCGCCGUGGCCGUCGUAGUUGCCGUAGGCAAGUUUAGAACGCUAUAGACAUGUUGAUGCUCACUUGCAGCUGAUGGCAUGACCUAGGAAAUGGUAUUUUACAUGGAAAGCUCGGGUUGAUAAGACACUGAUAGCUUAUGUAUUUUUCUGUUUUCAUCUCGAUUGUGGCUUGGAACUCCAGAUCAGUAAUUAAAUUGGUGUGCGGAUGUACAAUUCCACUUCAAAAACAAAUUGUCAUUGUGGUCAAAAUGACUAACCCAAAUUGAACAAUUUUUAUCUUGUGUGGUGCCAAAUCAUUUCAUAACUUGUACCAACGUAGCUCGACAAUUAUUCUCCUUCUCGCUCUCCUCCCACUCUGACAUAUUCACUCUUUCCAAUCUCAAUUAAAUAAAGAAAAUUAUCCAAAAAGUCUUAAACUUAUUGCAUUUUUAUUAAUUCAAUAAUAAAUCAUUUAAUUUUAUCAAUUUAGUUUUAAUUUUUUUCAUUUCUUGCUAAUUGAGUUUAUCCAAUCAAUUUUGGUUGGAAUUCGCUGACGUGACAUAGCUAGUGUUGACGUGGACAAAAUUUAUUAAUUCUUAAAUAUUUUUUUCAAAAUUUUAAAUUAUUUUAUAUUUUUUUUUGCGUUUUUCUUCCUCUGGCCGAUUGCCUAGCAUUCGAUAACUGGCUAGAGGCUAGAACAGGCGAGAGUCACCUCGUUGAGAUCUUGCAAGGGGUGACCUUGCCAUCCUUGGUUGAGAUUUGCCCUUGCCAAAUCUAAUGAGGUCAAGCCUCUUAGAAAUGGGCAAGGGUCACCCACGUUGAAGGCUAGGGAGGGUGACCUCGUCGGCUGUGAGUGUGGGGAUUGCCCUUGGUAGAUUCGAUAAAGGUGAGCCUCGCCUAAGGUCAGGGAAGUUGUCCUCAUCGGCUGUGAGUGUGGGGAUUGCCCUUGGUAGAUUCGAUAAAGGUGAGCCUCGCCUAAGGUCAGGGAAGUUGUCCUCGCCUGAGGCCAGUGAGGUCAACUCUCGCGACCCUUGUUGGCCUUUGGUGAGGGUGAGCCUCACCUAAGGUCGCCAGUAGAGGUGUCAAUGGUUCCGUUCGGUUCCCUUUUUUUUUUUUUAAAACCAAACCGAACCGAACCGAUAGAAAAAUGGUUCGGUUCGGUUCGGUUUUUCGUUUUCAGCUUUUGGUUUUUAGUUUUUGGUUUUCAUCUUGUGUAGAAACCACAAGCCCAUCAUUGAACUCCUGCUAAGAAGACGGGACCAAACCAAAUGAGUAAGGAAGCUCUCCGCCACAAAGAACAGCAAGACCCUUCUUGGGAAUUUCAUCGAGCACCUGGUGUGCAGCAUGCGGUGAUCAAUUUCCUUCCCUUGGGUGACGUUUCGGGGUCACAACCAAGUUCUAAUUUCAACCAGAAUCAACCCAUCUUUCACUUUUUUCCCAUCCCAAUGCGAAAAGAAAUGACAACAACGAUCGCGCAUGCGUGUCGAGCGUGAGAAAACGCAAUACCUGAGUUGGACGAACAUAGAGCAACUCCAGUUGAUUUGGACAAACGUCAAUGCCGUCGAGCCAGAAUGCCUCCGGGAAACACCGAGAAAUUUGCUUUGGACCGUGGUUCUUUGUCUGGUCUUAGCCAAACAGCGUGUAAAGUGACGAAGGAGAGACUUUGGCCGCCCCCCAGUCCAGAGAAGAGCGCGCGCAGGACAUGCUCGCUACAAAUUCUUCUCAGUGCCGUCGCCG